rnacentral:rRNA from 1 species
UCCAGACUCCUACGGGAGGCAGCAGUGGGGGAUAUUGCACAAUGGGGGGAACCCUGAUGCAGCGACGCCGCGUGGGUGAAGGAGCGUUUCGGCGCGUAAAGCCCUAUCGGCAGGGAAGAAGGAGGACGGUACCUGACUAAGAAGCCCCGGCUAACUACGUGCCAGCAGCCGCGGUAAUACGUAGGGGGCCAGCGUUAUCCGGAUUUACUGGGUGUAAAGGGGGCGCGGACGGCAGCGCAAGCCAGGAGUGAAAGCCCGGGGCCCAACCCCGGGACUGCUCUUGGAACUGCGCGGCUGGAGUGCAGGAGGGGCAGGCGGAAUUCCUGGUGUAGCGGUGAAAUGCGUAGAUAUCAGGAGGAACACCGGUGGCGAAGGCGGCCUGCUGGACUGCGACUGACGUUGAGGCCCGAAAGCGUGGGGAGCAAACAGGAUUAGAUACCCCGGUAAGC